rnacentral:rRNA from 1 species
UACUACUCCCACCUGAGCAUGCUUAACUGUGGAUCAUCCACAGUUAAGCAUGCUCAGGUGGGAGUAGUACCAGGAUGGGUGACCUCCUGGGAAGUCUCUAUCCGGGGCAACCA